rnacentral:rRNA from 1 species
CCUACGGGAGGCUGCAGUAGGGAAUAUUGCUCAAUGGGGGAAACUCUGAAGCAGCAACGCCGCGUGGAGGAUGAAGGUUUUCGGAUUGUAAACCCCUUUUGUUAGAGAAGAUAAAGACGGUAUCUAACGAAUAAACCCCGGCUAACUCCGUGUCAGCAGCCGCGGGAAUACGGAGGGUGCAAGCGUUACUCGGAAUCACUGGGCGGAAAGAGCGCGUAGGCGGGAUAGCAAGUCAGAUGUGAAAUCCUAUGGCUUAACCAUAGAACUGCAUUUGAAACUGUUAGUCUAGAGUAUGGGAGAGGUAGGUGGAAUUCUUUGUGUAGCGGUAAAAUCAGUAGAGAUCAAGAGGAAUACUCAUUGCGAAGGCGACCUGCUAGAACAUAACUGACGCUGAUGCGCGAAAGCGUGGGGAGCAAACAGGAUUAGAUACCCCAGUAGUC